CUUUGGUCCUGAUUUGAUUGAAAGUUAUAAUUGUAUAGGAAAAUAUUUGAUUAACCCUUUUAUUAAGUCACGGUCUGAUCUGGUUGAGUCCAAUCUGAAGCGGUUUAGUAAGAAUUAAAUGACAUUGGGCUCGAGAACAAGUUCAAGCCAAAUCAACGAUCAUGACCCACCUCAAACCCAAAGUAAUUCCCAACCAAUUCCU
rnacentral:lncRNA from 1 species